UUUGGAUCAUGUUUUUCUUUAGCUGUAUGCCCAGGAAUGAGAUUUCAGGUUCAUAUGGUAGGUCUACUGUUAGUUUUUUAAGGAACCUCCAUACUGUUCUCCAUAGUGGCUGUACUAAUUUACAUUCCCACCAACAGCGUAGGAGGGUUCCCUUUUCUCCUCACCUUCUCUAGCAUGUA